UCAGUGUGAAAACCCUGAGGUUGGCCUU
rnacentral:piRNA from 1 species